rnacentral:rRNA from 1 species
GACGUAGGGCGCGAGCGUUGUCCGGAUUUAUUGGGCGUAAAGAGCUCGUAGGCGGCUUGUCGCGUCGUUCGUGAAAACCUGCAGCUCAACUGCAGGCUUGCGGUCGAUACGGGCAGGCUGGAGUUCGGUAGGGGAGACUGGAAUUCCUGGUGUAGCGGUGAAAUGCGCAGAUAUCAGGAGGAACACCCGGUGGCGAAGGCGGGUCUCUGGGCCGAUACUGACGCUG